CAGUGAGGAAUAUUGAGCAAUGGGCGCAAGCCUGACUCAGCAACGCCGCGUGGACGAUGACGGCCUUCGGGUUGUAAAGUCCUUUUCUGAGGGACGAUGAUGACGGUACCUCAGGAACAAGUCCCGGCUAACUACGUGCCAGCAGCCGCGGUAAAACGUAGGGGCGAGCGUUAUCCGGAUUUACUGGGCGUAAAGCGCAUGUAGGCGGUGGGGUAAGUUAGACGUGAAAGCUCCCGGCUUAACUGGGAGAGGUCGUUUGAAACUGCCCGACUGGAGGUUGGAAGAGGAGAGUGGAAUUCCCGGUGUAGUGGUGGAAUGCGUAGAUAUCGGGAGGAACACCAGUGGCGAAAGCGGCUCUCUGGACCAAUACUGACGCUGAGAUGCGAAAGCGUGGGGAGCAAACGGGAUUAGAUACCCCGGUAGUCCACGCUGUAAACGAUGGAGACUAGGUGUCGGCGGUCAUUUACCCCGUCGGUGCCGCAGCUAACGCGUUAAGUCUCCCGCCUGGGGACUACGGCCGCAAGGUUA
rnacentral:rRNA from 1 species